rnacentral:rRNA from 1 species
CACCGCGGUUAUACGGGAUAUGGCCCAAGUUGACAGCCUACGGCGUAAAGAGUGGUUAAGAUAAAGGAAAAUAAUAAAGCCGAACACCCCUCAUGCUGUUAUACGCUAUCAGGGAUAAAGAAGCCCAAUUACGAAAGUAGCUUUACCUCUUCCUCUGAACCCACGAAAGUUAUGACA